rnacentral:rRNA from 1 species
AUGGCCCCCAAGGCUGCCGAGAAGAAGCCGGUGGAGAGGACCCCCGCGGGCAAGAAGCCCAAGGCGGAGAAGAAGGUGCCGGCGUCCAAGGAGGGUGGCGACAAGAAGGGGAAGAAGAAGGCCAAGAAGAGUGUGGAGACGUACAAGAUCUACAUCUUCAAGGUGCUCAAGCAGGUUCACCCCGACAUCGGCAUCUCCUCCAAGGCCAUGUCCAUCAUGAACUCCUUCAUCAACGACAUCUUCGAGAAGCUCGCUGGCGAGUCCGCCAAGCUCGCGAGGUACAACAAGAAGCCCACCAUCACUUCCCGCGAGAUCCAGACCUCCGUCCGCCUCGUCCUCCCCGGCGAGCUCGCCAAGCACGCCGUCUCCGAGGGCACUAAGGCUGUCACCAAGUUCACCUCGUCCUAG